rnacentral:rRNA from 1 species
GGCAUGCGGGACAUUAGCUAGUCGGCGGGGUAACGGCCCACCGAGGCGACGAUGCGUAGGGGUUCUGAGAGGAAGGCCCCCCACACUGGUACUGAGACACGGACCAGACUCCUACGGGAGGCAGCAGUGAGGAAUAUUGGUCAAUGGGCGCGAGCCUGAACCAGCCAAGUCGCGUGAGGGAGGACGGCCCUACGGGUUGUAAACCUCUUUUGCCGGGGAGCAACGGGCGCCACGUGUGGCGUCACUGAGAGUACCCGGAGAAAAAGCAUCGGCUAACUCCGUGCCAGCAGCCGCGGUAAUACGGAGGAUGCGAGCGUUAUCCGGAUUUAUUGGGUUUAAAGGGUGCGUAGGCGGAUCGUUAAGUCAGUGGUCAAAUUGAGGGGCUCAACCCCUUCUCGCCAUUGAAACUGGCGCUCUUGAGUGGAAGAGAAGUAUGCGGAAUGCGUGGUGUAGCGGUGAAAUGCAUAGAUAUCACGCAGAACCCCGAUUGCGAAGGCAGCAUGCCGGCUUCCGACUGACGCUGAAGCACGAAAGCGUGGGGAUCGAACAGGAUUAGAUACCCUGGUAGUCCACGCGGUAAACGAUGAGCGCUAGGUGUCCGGGGGGAAUGGCCCCUGG